UACGUAGGGGGCAAGCGUUGUCCGGAUUUAUUGGGCGUAAAGAGCUCGUAGGCGGCCAACUAAGUCGGAUGUGAAAUCCCCAGGCUUAACCUGGGAACUGCAUCCGAUACUGGAUGGCUUGAAUCCGGGAGAGGGAUGCAGAAUUCCAGGUGUAGCGGUGAAAUGCGCAGAUAUCAGGAGGAACACCGAUGGCGAAGGCAGGUCUCUGGGCAUUAACUGACGCUGAGGAGCGAAAGCAUGGGGAGCGAACAGG
rnacentral:rRNA from 1 species